rnacentral:tRNA from 1 species
CGGGGCGUGGCUCAGUUUGGUAGAGCGCAUGGUUCGGGACUAUGAGGUCGCUGGUUCAAAUCCAGUCGCCCCGACCA